ACCAGCGGAGCUAGCACGUUGAAUGAACCAGUUCCCCACAGAUCACUGAAGUUAAGCACCGUUGUGGGUGGUUAGUACCUGGAUGGGUGACCAUCUGGGGAAUCCGCGUGCAGCUGGUU
rfam:Asian citrus Psyllid, Diaphorina citri - Florida Strain, whole genome shotgun sequence.